rnacentral:rRNA from 1 species
UACGGAGGGUGCAAGCGUUAAUCGGAAUUACUGGGCGUAAAGCGCGCGUAGGCGGCGUUUUAAGUCAGAUGUGAAAGCCCUGGGCUCAACCUGGGAACUGCAUUUGAUACUGGAACGCUAGAGUACGAGAGAGGGGGGUAGAAUUCCACGUGUAGCGGUGAAAUGCGUAGAUAUGUGGAGGAAUACCAGUGGCGAAGGCGGCCCCCUGGCUUGAUACUGACGCUGAGGUGCGAAAGCGUGGGGAGCAAACAGG